CAAUGUAAACUUAAAACCCCGGUAUUUCAGAUGUAUACACGUGCGUCUGCAGCUGAUGUUAAACCAAGUGCGCGUGAUAUUGUCGAGUCGGUAAAUAAUAAUCGUUUAGACAAUAACUGUUAAUGAAACGUUGAAAGUCGCCCGAACAAAACGAUCAAUGCCCAAUGGUUAUCAUUAUCGGCCGUCAAAAGUCCGUUUUUCGAUAAAAACCAUCGCCGGCGUAAAAAUCGCCAACCGGCACCCGGCAUUCCCUCCCCACUC